AACGAACGCUGGCGGCGUGGAUAAGACGUGCAAGUCGAACGGGACAGACCGAGUAGCAAUAUUAGGAAUGUUCAGUGGCGAACGGGUGCGUAACACGUGGAUAACAUUCCGGAAAGCGGGGAAUAGCCCAGGGAAACUUGGAUUAAUACCGCAUGUGGCCGCAAGGCUAAAGACGGGGACCGCAAGGCCUGUCACUUUCCGAUUGGUCCGCGGCCUAUCAGCUAGUUGGCGGGGUAAUGGCCCACCAAGGCUACGACGGGUAGCUGGUCUUAGAGGACGACCAGCCACACUGGAACUGAGACACGGUCCAGACACCUACGGGUGGCAGCAGUCGAGAAUCUUUCACAAUGGGGGCAACCCUGAUGGAGCGACGCCACGUGGAGGAUAAGGUCUUCGGAUUGUAAACUCCUGUCAUGCGAGAACAAGGUACUCAGGCUAAUAACCUGAUUGUUUGAUGGUACCGCAAGAGGAAGAGACGGCUAACUCUGUGCCAGCCGCCGCCGUAACAC
rnacentral:rRNA from 1 species